UGCCAAUGUGUCCUACCUGUUCCAGG
rnacentral:piRNA from 1 species